CGGCGUGCCUAAUACAUGCAAGUCGAGGGAAUGAAGAGGAGCUUGCUCCUCUGAUUAAGCGGCGGACGGGUGAGUAACACGUGGGUAAUCUGCCUGUAAGACGGGGAUAACUCCGGGAAACCGGGGCUAAAACCGGAUAAUAAGAAAAAAAGCAUGUUUUUUUUUUGAAAGUCGGUUUCGGCUGACACUUACAGAUGAGCCCGCGGCGCAUUAGCUAGUUGGUGAGGUAACGGCUCACCAAGGCGACGAUGCGUAGCCGACCUGAGAGGGUGAUCGGCCACACUGGGACUGAGACACGGCCCAGACUCCUACGGGAGGCAGCAGUAGGGAAUCUUCGGCAAUGGGCGAAAGCCUGACCGAGCAACGCCGCGUGAGCGAUGAAGGCCUUCGGGUCGUAAAGCUCUGUUGUUAGAGAAGAACAAGUACGAGAGUAACUGCUCGUACCUUGACGGUACCUAACCAGAAAGCCACGGCUAACUACGUGCCAGCAGCCGCGGUAAUACGUAGGUGGCAAGCGUUAUCCGGAAUUAUUGGGCGUAAAGCGCGCGCAGGCGGUCUCUUAAGUCUGAUGUGAAAGCCCACGGCUCAACCGUGGAGGGUCAUUGGAAACUGGGAGACUUGAGUGCAGGAGAGAAAAGUGGAAUUCCACGUGUAGCGGUGAAAUGCGUAGAGAUGUGGAGGAACACCAGUGGCGAAGGCGGCUUUUUGGCCUGUAACUGACGCUGAGGCGCGAAAGCGUGGGGAGCAAACAGGAUUAGAUACCCUGGUAGUCCACGCCGUAAACGAUGAGUGCUAGGUGUUGGGGGGUUCCACCCUCAGUGCUGAAGUUAACACAUUAAGCACUCCGCCUGGGGAGUACGACCGCAAGGUUGAAACUCAAAGGAAUUGACGGGGGCCCGCACAAGCAGUGGAGCAUGUGGUUUAAUUCGAAGCAACGCGAAGAACCUUACCAGGUCUUGACAUCCUCUGACCACUCUAGAGAUAGAGCUUUCCCCUUCGGGGGACAGAGUGACAGGUGGUGCAUGGUUGUCGUCAGCU
rnacentral:rRNA from 1 species